rnacentral:rRNA from 1 species
AACCAGCCAUGCCGCGUGCAGGAAGACGGCUCUAUGAGUUGUAAACUGCUUUUAUGUCAGGGUAAUUGUGAGUACGCGUACUCACUUGAAAGUAUGACAAGAAUAAGGAUCGGCUAACUCCGUGCCAGCAGCCGCGGUAAUACGGAGGAUCCAAGCGUUAUCCGGAUUUAUUGGGUUUAAAGGGUGCGUAGGCGGUUUUUUAAGUUAGAGGUGAAAUCUGGAGGCUCAACCUCCAAAUUGCCUGUGAUACUGGGAGACUAGAGAGUAGAUGCGGUAGGCGGAAUGUGUGGUGUAGCGGUGAAAUGCUUAGAUAUCACACAGAACACCGAUUGCGAAGGCAGCUUACCAAUCUACGACUGACGCUGAGGCACGAAAGCGUGGGUAGCAAACAGGAUUAGAUACCCUGGUAGUCCACGCAGUAAACGAUGAUAACUCGUUGUCGGCGAUAUACUGUCGGUGACCAAGCGAAAGCGUUAAGUUAUCCACCUGGGGAGUACGUUCGCAAGAAUGAAACUCAAAGGAAUUGACGGGGGCCCGCACAAGCGGAGGAACAUGUGGUUUAAUUCGAUGAUACGCGAGGAACCUUACCCGGGCUUGAAAGUUAGUGACGGAUGUGGAAACAUGUCUUCCCUUCGGGGCACGAAACUAGGUGCUGCAUGGUUGUCGUCAGCUCGUGCCGUGAGGUGUCGGGUUAAGUCCCAUAACGAGCGCAACCCCUACCGUUAGUUGCCAUCGGGUCAAGUCGGGGACUCUAACGGGACUGCCGGUGUAAGCAGUGAGGAAGGUGGGGAUGACGUCAAAUCAGCACGGCCCUUACGUCCGGGGCCACACACGUGUUACAAUGGUCGGUACAGAGGGCAGCUACCCAGCGAUGGGAUGCGAAUCUCGAAAGCCGAUCUCAGUUCGGAUCGGAGGCUGAAACUCGCCUCCGUGAAGUUGGAUUCGCUAGUAAUCGCGCAUCA